GUCUGUGCAGAUUCGUGUCCGGGCCAUAACUUCUUUGUUCUUUUACAUAGGCAUACCAUAUUUGGCACACAGGUGGAUCAACAUGAGAUGAUGUGUCGAGUAUCUUCAUGACCUUGACCUCAAGGUCAAAAUUAAAGGUUUUUUACAAUGGAUUCCUGUCCAGGCCAUAACUUCUUUGUUCUUUGACAUAGGCAUACCAUAUUUGACACAUGAGUGUAUCACCAUGAGACGAUGUGUCGGGUACCUUCAUGACCUCUAUAUGACCUUGAACUUUGACCUCAAGAUCAAAAUUGAUUAUAGGGUUUUGACAUAGUCAUACCAUAAGACAUGGGUGUAUCACUAUGAGACUAUGUGUCAUGUACAUUCAUGACCUCUUUAUGACCUUGACCUUUGAUCUCAAGGUCAAAAUUAUAGGUUUAUACCAUGGAUUUGUGUUCAGACUAUAUCUUCCAUUUUCUUCUACAAAGGCAUACCAUAGUUGUACAUUGGUGUGUUGCCAUGAGAAGAUUUGUUGUAUAUAUUCAUGACAUCUUUUAUGACCUUGACAUUAUCACCAUGAGACAAUCUGUCAAGUAAAAUGAUGACCUUUGUAUGACCUUGACCUUUGACCUCAAGCUCAAAAUUGCCUUCUAUUUUCACAUGGAUUUGUUUAGUUUUCUUCAUAACAAAUGUUUAUUCACAGGUCUUCUACCUUGCUGAUAUUUUUACACUCAGAAAAGAGAUAAUUUAUACCUUUGGGAGAUUGGGGUAAGCGGGGGAGGGGGGUAUUCUUAGUGAGCAUUGCUCACAGUACCUGUUGUUUUUGUGAUGUUUUACAUUUUCGGGAUCUUUGUACAAAAGGGAAUACUAGAGGUAUCAAAACUACACAAGGCAAACUUAUGGGGUAAAAAGCUGGUAGAAUUUUUUAAAAGAGUGUUAUCUUUAAGAUUAUACUAGUUGUUAUUUAAAAACACAAAAAAAUAGCACUUUUUAUAUCUUGAAUAAAAUUCGAAUUGGUUGCCAUGACAACAAAAAAUGUAUAUUGAGCAGAUUUACAAGGUCUACGUCAGAAUUUUUUUUACAUUAAACAUAAUAUUUGGACCUUAAAUAUUUAAGAAUUACUACCCACCGGGCUCUGUUUCCAUGGUAAAAAAUUAAAAAGAAUUAAUUUUAUUUAUGCGAUUUGUCACUUUGUUUUAUAAUUGUACAACUUUUGAAGAGUGCAUUGAGCAUUUUCAUGAAUAAGAUACAAUUCCAGCCCCAAAAUAAUAUUUACAUUUAUUAAAAAUUAAGAUUUUGAGUUUUUUCAAUACAAUAUUUUCAAUAUCCCGGUUUUCCAUGGUCCUGUUUCGUCAUAAAUUCCGUGUUACAUUAGCCCGAACCUGUCUUAUAUACUACAUCUUUGAAAUAAUUUCCCUCUCCUUGUCCCAAUUCUUGAUGUUUGUUUACACAGUUGAACAUGCAACUGUAACCUUCGUGACAAUAUAGAGCCUGGUCAGUGGUGGAUCUAGAGGUGCUUUAACAGGAAAUUAAAUCAUAGGAGAAAAUUUAUAUCUGGACUGGGAAUUGAACUUGUGGCCCAUACAUUACUAAUCAAGUUCUCCAACCAUUGAGCUAUUCAGGCCAAUAUCUAUGGACCAUAUAACCUAAACCACUAGUAUGUCUGCAUUGCUCCCUCCUUAAAUUGUCUUUGCCCUCAAAGACACAGGCCUCUGGCAGGACUUUCAUCUGCAAUACCAGGGGCGGUCAAUAGCACUAAAUAUUAAAGAAAAGGAGGAAAUUUACGGCAGGAUUGGGAAUCAAACCCGGCACUCCUGCAUUACUAGUCAGGUGCUCUAACCACUGAACUAUCCAGACCAAUAUGCAGUCCAUACAGCCCAAACCACUACACAAACAGUUCAGCUACAAGUUUGUUAAAUAUACUAAUAACCAUAAACACAGGGCUCUCAAAUUUAUAGAUACUUGUCGUUCAUCGGAUUGAAUAUUGAAAAGUGUUAGAACUCUAUCUUUAUGUUAUAUUUUUAGGCCACCAGAAUCUUCUUGAUAAUAACCCUUCUAUUUCUUUUCAAAUUCGAUAUGCAGCAUCUUUGGGAUAAGGGUGACAUAAAUUGUAAAUUUCAGCAUUCGUACACCCAUGGAGCUUAUAGGGGUCUGUUAUAAAUUGACCAACUUUUAAAAAUCUUUUCACAACUUCAAUUGUGCAAGGAAAACUCAUUACAUAGUCAUGUAGAACAGGGAGGCUUUGAUAAAAAAUGAAUGAUCCUAUAGGUAGAGGGUCUGACUGCAGGGCAGGACCAAACUUGUCAUAUAGUGUUAUUGUGUAAGACAUUUGAAUGAAUCUUCUUUAAUGCAUUGAAUUGAAACUAAAUGGAUAUUUAGAAGGAGCAUGGGGCCCUUUGCCAUACUUGUAAAUUCAUAAUCCUUGAGGUAGGGGUUUUGGUACAAGAGUGCAGAUGCCAAAAUGGUUAUAGUAAUUAAAUGCCUAUCAUUUGGAAGAAUCAUUCUUUAAUUUUGAUGAUAUAUAUAAAUGCAUAUUGAGGAAAAGCAGAGAGGAGUGUACUAAAAUCGUGAAUUUCUAGAGCUAUAGUCCUAAAUUGUUGUAUAGUAUUAAUGUAAUAUAUGUAAAGUCUUUCGUUAAUAUGGGCACUUCAGGGGCAUUUGUGUUUUAAGAAUACACCCUGUUUUAUACUGGUAAUGAAUAUCAGAAAUAUGUGCAGAACAGGGAAAUCAUUAUAGAUUUUCACAGUUCUUGGGCACAGGUGACCAAUGAGGCAUUUGAUCCUCUAAUUUGGUUUAAAAGGUUUUUGGCAUACAGUAUCAAAAAAAGUAAAGUCUGUGUAAUUAAAAUGAAGAAUUUUUGCAUUAAGUAUUGAGGAUUAGAUUUAAGGAGGUACGUACUCUACAUCGUCAAUGGCUGCAGACUUCCAUUUUAAAACGUGAGUGAAAAUCAAAAUAUCAGCCAUACAUGUAUUUGUCUAUUCCGUUUAAACUUAACUAUUUAGCUGAGAAGCUCAGUAGGUUAGCACAUUGUCUACUGAACUGUAGGUCAUGGGUUUGAUUCCAAUAGGGGCUUUAAUUUUAUUUCAGAUUGCUUUCUAAUAAAACUGCAUGUCAAAAAAGCAAUAUAGGCAAUUUUGUAUAAAAGAUAUGAUUUUCAAAUUAUUAUUUUAAUAAAUGAUGAACAAAA